rnacentral:rRNA from 1 species
UGGAGAGGUAACGGCUCACCAAGGCUACGAUGUCUAGGGGUUUUGAGAGGAAGAUCCCCCACACUGGUACUGAGACACGGACCAGACUCCUACGGGAGGCAGCAGUGAGGAAUAUUGGUCAAUGGACGGAAGUCUGAACCAGCCAUGCCGCGUGAAGGAAGACUGCCCUAUGGGUUGUAAACUUCUUUUAUACGGGGAUAAACCUAUCUUUGCGAAGAUAGCUGAAGGUACCGUAUGAAUAAGCAUCGGCUAACUCCGUGCCAGCAGCCGCGGUAAUACGGAGGAUGCGAGCGUUAUCCGGAUUUAUUGGGUUUAAAGGGUGCGUAGGCGGACAAAUAAGUCAGUGGUGAAAUCACUCAGCUUAACUGAGUAACUGCCAUUGAUACUGUUAGUCUAGAAUGUAAAUGGAGUAGGCGGAAUGAAUCAUGUAGAGGUGGCAUUCAUAGAUAUGAUUCAGAACACCGAUCGCGAAGGCAGCUUGCUAAGAUACAAUUGACGCUGAUGCACGAAAGCGUGGGUAGCAAACAGGAUUAGAUACCCUGGUAGUCCACGCUGUAAACGAUGAUAACUCGUUGUCGGCGGUACACAGUCGGUGACUGAGCGAAAGCGAUAAGUUAUCCACCUGGGGAGUACGAUCGCAAGGUUGAAACUCAAAGGAAUUGACGGGGGCCCGCACAAGCGGAGGAGCAUGUGUUUUAUUUCGAUGAUACGCGAGGAACCUUACCUAGACUUGAACGUAAUUGGCAUAAUUUAGAAAAUAAGAUUAGUUAGUAAUACCAUUUACGAGGUGCUGCAUGAUUGUCGUC